rnacentral:rRNA from 1 species
UACGUAGGUGGCGAGCGUUGUCCGGAUUUACUGGGCGUAAAGGGAGCGUAGGCGGACUUUUAAGUGAGAUGUGAAAUACUCGGGCUCAACUUGAGUGCUGCAUUUCAAACUGGAAGUCUAGAGUGCAGGAGAGGAGAAUGGAAUUCCUAGUGUAGCGGUGAAAUGCGUAGAGAUUAGGAAGAACACCAGUGGCGAAGGCGAUUCUCUGGACUGUAACUGACGCUGAGGCCCGAAAGCGUGGGGAGCAAACAGG